GUAAUGGGAAUCAGUGUUCGAUUGUGGAGAGGGAGCCUGAGAAUGCCCAAGGAAGCAGCAUGCGCGCAAUUACCCACUCCGACUCCGGGAGAUAGUGACGAAAAAUAACAAUAUAGGACUCUUUCGAGGCACUGUAAUUGGAAUGAGUACACUUUAAAUCCUUUAACAAGUACCCAUUGGAGGGCAAGUCUGAUGUCAGCAGCCACAGGUAUUUCCUUUGAGUACCCAUUGGAGGGCAGGUCUGAUGCCAGCACCCACAGUAAUCCAGCUCCAAUAGCGUAUAUUAAAGUUGCUGCAGUUAAAAAGCUUGUAGUUGGAUCUUGGGAUCGAGCUGGCAGUCCGCCGUGAGGGGAGCUACCGCCUGUCCCAGCCCCUGCACCUUGGCGCCCCCUUGAAGCUCUUGCCUGAGUGACCUGGAGGUCCUAAGCGUUUACUUUGAAAAAAUGUGAGUGUUCAAAGCAGGCCGGUCGCCUGAAUGCUUCAGCUAGGAAUAAUGGAAUAGGACUCCGGUUCUAUUUUGUUGGAUUUCAGAACUUGGGCCAUGAGACGGCCGGAGGCCCUCAUAUUGUGCCGCUACAGAUGAAAUUCUUGGACCGGUGCAAGAUGAACCAAAGCGAAAGCAUUAGCCAAGAAUGUUUUCAUUAAUCAAGAACGAAAGUCUGAGGUUCGAAGAUGAUCUGAUACUGUUGCAGCUCCCACUAUAAACUAUGCAGACUAGCGAUCUGGCGGCGUUUUCCCCAUGACCCGCUGAGCAGCUUCUGCGAAUCCAAGUCUUUGGGUUCCGGGAGAGUAUGGUUGCGAAGCUGAAACUUAAAGGAAUUGACGGAAGGGCACCACCAUGAAACCUCACCCGGCCGUACACGGAAAGGAUUGACAGAGUGAUAGUUCUUUCUCCGAUUCUGUUGGUGGUGGUGCAUGGCCGUUCUUAGUUGGUGGAGCGAUUUGUCUGGUUAAUUCUGAUAACGAACGAGACUCCUCCAUGCUAAAUAGUUAUGCAACCCACCCAGCGGUCAGCGUUCAACUUCUUAGAGGGACUAAUCGCGUUUAGUCACACGAGAUUGAUCAUUCACAGGUCUGUGAAGCCUUUAGAUGUCUGGGGCUGCACGCGCGCUACACUGAACCGAUCAUCAUUUGUCUACCCUUCACAGACAGGUGCAGCUAGCCCGCUCAAUCCUGUUCGUGAUAGGAAUUGGGGAUUGCAAUUAUUUCCCAUGAACAAGGAAUUUCCAGUAAUUGCGGGUCAUAAGCUUGUAUAGAUUAAGUCCUUGCCCUUUGUACACACUGCCCAUCGCUACUACCGAUUGGAUGGUUUAGUGAGGUACUUGGAUUGGCCCCUGCCGGGGUCCGAGAAGACUAUCAAACUUGACUAUCUAGAGAAAGUGAAAGUUGUACGGGUUGGGUUAGCCUGCCGGGGACGU
rnacentral:rRNA from 1 species